rnacentral:rRNA from 1 species
GACGAACGCUGGCGGCGUGCUUAACACAUGCAAGUCGAACGGAAAGGCCCUGCUUUUGUGGGGUGCUCGAGUGGCGAACGGGUGUGUAACACGUGAGUAACCUGCCCUUGACUCUGGGAUAACUUCAGGAAACUGGGGCUAAUACCGGAUAGGAGCUCCUGCUGCAUGGUGGGGGUUGGAAAGUUUCGGCGGUUGGGGAUGGACUCGCGGCUUAUCAGCUUGUUGGUGGGGUAGUGGCUUACCAAGGCUUUGACGGGUAGCCGGCCUGAGAGGGUGACCGGCCACAUUGGGACUGAGAUACGGCCCAGACUCCUACGGGAGGCAGCAGUGGGGAAUAUUGCACAAUGGGCGGAAGCCUGAUGCAGCAACGCCGCGUGCGGGAUGACGGCCUUCGGGUUGUAAACCGCUUUCGCCUGUGACGAAGCGUGAGUGACGGUAAUGGGUAAAGAAGCACCGGCUAACUACGUG